UACGAAGGGGGCGAGCGUUAUUCGGAAUCACUGGGCGUAAAGCGUGCGUAGGCUGUUCUGUAAGUUGGAAGUGAAAGCCCAGGGCUCAACCCUGGAAUUGCUUUCAAAACUACAGGACUCGAGUCCGGGAGAGGAUAGCGGAAUUCCCAGUGUAGUAGUGAAAUACGUAGAUAUUGGGAGGAACACCAGUGGCGCAAGCGGCUAUCUGGACCGGUACUGACGCUGAGGCACGAAAGCGUGGGGAUCAAACAGG
rnacentral:rRNA from 1 species